rnacentral:tRNA from 1 species
GCGGCUAUGGUUCAAUGGUAGAAUGAAUCCUUCCCAAGGAUUAGGCGCGAGUUCGAUUCUCGCUAGCCGCUCCA